ACAAUGGCAGCCUUUAGAUGUUUUUCCACAGGCUGGUGCUGUAAAAUGCUCUGCUUCCAAUGCUGGUUUAGAAGAUUUCUUGAAAAUACAACAGUCAAACCUACCACUGUCUAUCUUCAAAGAUGACAUUCACAAAGAGCAGCAGUGAUUACAGAAGGUCUGCAAGGAAAGAAAACAGCAGUGUACAGUAAGACAAGUCUGAAAAUUCUUCAGUUUAGAGAGCUCCCAUGCCUUACCGUGAC
rnacentral:lncRNA from 1 species